rnacentral:lncRNA from 1 species
AGAAUAAACAAUUGCACACAUUCCGGUGAAUAGUUGUAGGCUUCAAAAUGUCCAAAUUGUAGGCUCCGCAAUUCAAAAACUCCAUAACAUUACUACAUAGAUUUCACAUUACAUUAACCACAUAGUAGGCAUCAAAAUGAAGCCCCCACAUCAAUUAAAUAGCAGUACACAAAUUUCACACUACGUUAACCACAAAGUAGGCAUCGAAAUGAUGUCUCCGCCAAAGUUAAAGAGCAAUUUUAUUACAUCAACAACUACAACUUAGACCUGCCAUGUUCAUUUCUUAUCCUCUUCCACGGUCGCUUGUCCUUUGUGUAUUGUCACAUUUACGGAAAUCUCCACAUCUUUUUCAUAAGUUAGCCGACGCAUGGUUUCGAACAUGCCAGAGACAUCUUGAACUAAUUCAGGCGCCACAAAUUUAGUGGAGGUAAUGCCAAUGACACUUGAUUCACUGCUCGUUUCACCCACUUUAACCCACUCCUAAUCCGCAGUUUGCAGUGCAACAAUUGAACAAUUUACCUUUCUUCCUACUAUCCUUCUCAACUUGAAAACACUUCACAAUUGCAUGUUUACACCAC